GGAAUCUUGGACAAUGGGGGAAACCCUGAUCCAGCCAUGCCGCGUGAGUGAUGAAGGCCCUAGGGUUGUAAAACUCUUUCGGCGGGGACGAUAAUGACGGUACCCGCAGAAGAAGCUCCGGCUAACUUCGUGCCAGCAGCCGCGGUAAUACGAAGGGGGCUAGCGUUGUUCGGAAUUAUUGGGCGUAAAGCGCACGUAGGCGGCCCGUUAAGUCUCAUGGUGAAAGGCCGGGGCUCAACCCCGAGCAUGCCGGGGAUACUGGGGGGCUGGAGACAGGCAGAGGCCAGCGGAAUUCCGGGUGUAGCGGUGGAAUGCGUAGAGAUCCGGAAGAACACCGGAGGCGAAGGCGGCUGGCUGGGCCUGAUCUGACGCUGAGGUGCGAAAGCGUGGGGAGC
rnacentral:rRNA from 1 species